AUCACUUUUUGGCCUUUUGGCUAAGAUGAAGUGUAGUAUCUUUUCUUAUCAGUUUAAUAUCUGAUAUAUUCUUUAUCUGAGGACAAUAUAUUAAAUAGAUUUUUGGAACAAGGAGAUGGAAUAGGAGCUUGCUCCCUCCACUCCUCGAAUUGAUCUGGUAUUGUAAUACCUCCGAGAACAGUGUACCCCUC
ensembl:snRNA U2 U2 spliceosomal RNA